UGAGUGUUAUGAUGAUGGAAUCCUAUUCUGAUUCUUAGUCUAGCUCUGGUCUACCGCUGAGCUUGUCUCAGCGGU
rfam:Streptococcus suis 05ZYH33, complete genome.